GCAUAUUAUAAACAUCAAAACACGACAUCACCUGUAAAUCAAAACAAUAAAUCCAACAUAUCGAGUAAUGGGACAUGGAAUAUGAGGUAGAUAGAACAGUGUGACUAUCACUAGCAAUAAAAGACAAAUCUACAUAGGCAAAGAAAACCUAAAUCAUGAUAUUCUCAAGUCGAGAUCAUUUAGCGAGAUAUAUGAAUAAUCGAACUGUACAACUGAAUACAGAACAAAAAUUUUUCAUGAAUAAUUGCUAGCAAAUCACUUUUCUUAUGAAUAUUAUUACACAUCACUGCUUACACCAGGUUUGAUGAGCACAUACAGAUCAACUACUCUGUUAAAUCAUCACUGAGAAAAUCAAGACCAUCAUCAUCAGUGGUUACUCCUCCAGCAGCAGGAUUAACUUCCAAACGUUCAACUAAACCAUCCAAUGACACCAUUUCUGCAGGUCUCUUUGCUUCAUGGUUUUGCUCAUCAAUUUCAUCUCCAUAAAAUUGUUCCAUCUCACCACAAGGGAUCUCCUCAUUUUCUUGUAUGGCUUGUUUCUCUGCCUCUACAAGCCAGUCACCUAGUAUGCUUUCCAUCAUGAAACUGUCAAAGGAGAUCAAAUCACCAGACUUUCUUUCCAAUUGCUGUUCUCGUAAUCGCAAAUUGUAGUGAAUAUAGGCAAGCUCAUUCCAUCUCUUUUGAGACAGACAGUUGUGUCUUUUGCUGUGAACUUGGUCAUAUGUACUCCAAGUAUGUUCACAUCCAAGGGAUGAACAUGUCUGGCUCAGUAUGCGUAUAGCAAUUAGUUGAAGCUCCAAGCAACUUAUUCCAUGCUGUUGCCACCAAGCAGCUGGAUCAAGCUCUAUUCUAGUACUCAAGGCCAAAUCAGUUCCGAAAUCACCUUUAGCAGAUACAAAAUCAGGAAUCUGCGCGGAUGCAGAAAUUCUUUUUCCGUUGUCAACUUCCAGCCGCACAAUGCAUUCAUUUAAACCACGAAUAACCUCAGGAUUCAUUAUGA
rnacentral:misc_RNA from 1 species